UACUGGUCGUAUACCCUGUAGUACCGAGCGAUGUCUGAGUUUUUGGUUGCAUACACGAUCGGUUACUGGGUGCACGACUUAAUUC
rnacentral:pre_miRNA from 1 species